rnacentral:rRNA from 1 species
GUGGAUCAGUGGCGAACGGGUGAGUAACACGUGAGCAACCUGCCCCUGACUCUGGAAUAAGCGCUGGAAACGGCGUCUAAUACUGGAUACGAGAAGGGUCCGCAUGGGCACUUUCUGGAAAGUUUUUCGGUUGGGGAUGGGCUCGCGGCCUAUCAGCUUGUUGGUGAGGUAAUGGCUCACCAAGGCGACGACGGGUAGCCGGCCUGAGAGGGCGACCGGCCACACUGGGACUGAGACACGGCCCAGACUCCUACGGGAGGCAGCAGUGGGGAAUAUUGCACAAUGGGCGAAAGCCUGAUGCAGCGACGCCGCGUGAGGGAUGACGGCCUUCGGGUUGUAAACCUCUUUCAGCAGGGAAGAAGCGAAAGUGACGGUACCUGCAGAAGAAGCACCGGCUAACUACGUGCCAGCAGCCGCGGUAAUACGUAGGGUGCGAGCGUUGUCCGGAAUUAUUGGGCGUAAAGAGCUUGUAGGCGGUUUGUCGCGUCUGCUGUGAAAAUCCGGGGCUCAACCCCGGACUUGCAGUGGGUACGGGCAGACUAGAGUGUGGUAGGGGAGACUGGAAUUCCUGGUGUAGCGGUGAAAUGCGCAGAUAUCAGGAGGAACACCGAUGGCGAAGGCAGGUCUCUGGGCCACUACUGACGCUGAGAAGCGAAAGCAUGGGGAGCGAACAGGAUUAGAUACCCUGGUAGUCCAUGCCGUAAACGUUGGGCGCUAGGUGUGGGACUCAUUCCACGAGUUCCGUGCCGCAGCUAACGCAUUAAGCGCCCCGCCUGGG